rnacentral:rRNA from 1 species
UUAUCCUACGGGGCGCAGCAGUGGGGAAUAUUGCACAAUGGGGGAAACCCUGAUGCAGCGACGCCGCGUGAGCGAUGAAGUAUUUCGGUAUGUAAAGCUCUAUCAGCAGGGAAGAAGAUGACGGCACCUGACUAAGAAGCCCCGGCUAACUACGUGCCAGCAGCCGCGGUAAUACGUAUGGUGCAAGCGUUAUCCGGAUUUACUGGGUGUAAAGGGAGCGUAGACGGCAGAGCAAGUCUGAAGUGAAAGCCCGCGGCCCAACUGCGGGACUGCUUUGGAAACUGCCCGGCUAGAGUGCUGGAGAG